UAUCAAGCCCACGUGUAGCUUGCUCCCUCUCUCCCGUGCGUGCUCACCGUGGCCAAUUUGGCCACGGCGCCGCUCGCGCACGCCACAACGACGCGUCGCACGAAGCUUCUCCCCUGCUCACGCGAGAGCCGAGCCCUAGCCCUUUUCCCCUGCUGCCCAGAGCGCGCCUCGUCGCCCGCCAUGGCUGCCGCCGGCCUUGCACGCCGUGCUCCCACCUCCGGCCUUCCUCCACCCAAGCCGGCCACCGAAAUAGCUUCUCCACCUCCUACUGAUUCUCCACGGCCCAACCCCGCUUGCCCAGCCACGCCGGAACGCCGCCGCAGCGGCACAGUACCACUGCCGGCCGCCGCCCGCCAUGGAACCGCCACCACGGACCACCUCCUCGCGCUCCAAGGCCACCUACAGGUACGAUAGAUGAACCACGUGAAGGACGUGAUAUUGGAACCGAACACGAAGACGAUGUUUGGUGGACAUAUCCAGAAGAGGCAAAGAACCAGGAGUACAUGCUUGGACCGGAAUACUCGCCAAGCAAGUGUCAUCUAACUAACACUGACUUAGUGUUAAUCCCAGGCAAGCCCCGGUGCACAUCCUAUUAUUUCAAUUUAUGACAUCUAUAUAUAUUUCUAUUACUUGUGCAUUAGGUUUAAGAAUUAUUUGGAGGUUUAAGAAUGAUUUGGAACUCUAGUUGCAUGAUCCCUAGGUUCCCUGUAGUUAUACUAGUAUGUAUAGGGCGAUAGAAAUGCUAUGCUUAAUAAUAUCUCGGUAGAAGUCGAGUGAUUUCUGGUCACUCGCGAGAUAUAGGAUGUAUCAUUAUUUUGAGUAUGUGGAAUAA